UACGAAGGGGGCUAGCGUUGCUCGGAAUCACUGGGCGUAAAGCGCACGUAGGCGGAUCUUUAAGUCAGGGGUGAAAUCCCAAGGCUCAACCUUGGAACUGCCUUUGAUACUGGGGAUCUCGAGUCCGGAAGAGGUUGGUGGAACUGCGAGUGUAGAGGUGAAAUUCGUAGAUAUUCGCAAGAACACCAGUGGCGAAGGCGGCUCACUGGCCCGUAACUGACGCUGAGGCACGAAAGCGUGGGGAGCAAACAGG
rnacentral:rRNA from 1 species